rnacentral:misc_RNA from 1 species
UUGAAUAAACUUGAACAGGCUGUUGCUCAUCUGGUGCACGCUUGUCAUCUUUGUCUCUCCCACUGUGCACAUAUUGUAGACCUAGAGUUUUGAGAACUGCUGUGCUGCAAAGUCGGCUUUCUUGUUGCUUCUUCUUGGUCUAUGUUUCACAAUCUCUGUAACAUGUUUGGAAUGUUGAAUUUGGAUAACAAUAUA